CCUACGGGAGGCAGCAGUGAGGAAUAUUGGUCAAUGGACGAGAGUCUGAACCAGCCAAGUAGCGUGAAGGAUGACUGCCCUAUGGGUUGUAAACUUCUUUUAUAAAGGAAUAAAACGAGGCACGUGUGCCCUUUUGCAUGUACUUUAUGAAUAAGGAUCGGCUAACUCCGUGCCAGCAGCCGCGGUAAUACGGAGGAUCCGAGCGUUAUCCGGAUUUAUUGGGUUUAAAGGGAGCGUAGAUGGGUUGUUAAGUCAGUUGUGAAAGUUUGCGGCUCAACCGUAAAAUUGCAAUUGAUACUGGCAGUCUUGAGUACAGUUGAGGUAGGCGGAAUUCGUGGUGUAGCGGUGAAAUGCUUAGAUAUCACGUAGAACCCCGAUUGCGAAGGCAGCUUACUAAACUGUGACUGACAUUGAUGCUCGAAAGUGUGGGUAUCAAACAGGAUUAGAUACCCCAGUAGUC
rnacentral:rRNA from 1 species